rnacentral:rRNA from 1 species
AGCGAACGCUGGCGGCAGGCCUAACACAUGCAAGUCGAACGAACCUUUCGGGGUUAGUGGCGGACGGGUGAGUAACACGUGGGAACGUGCCUUUAGGUUCGGAAUAACUCAGGGAAACUUGUGCUAAUACCGAAUGUGCCCUUCGGGGGAAAGAUUAAUCGCCUUUAGAGCGGCCCGCGUCUGAUUAGCUAGUUGGUUGAGGUAAUGGCUCACCAAGGCGACGAUCAGUAGCUGGUCUGAGAGGAUGAUCAGCCACAUUGGGACUGAGACACGGCCCAAACUCCUACGGGAAGCAGCAGUGGGGAAUCUUGCGCAAUGUGCGAAAGCCUGACGCAGCCAUGCCGCGUGAAUGAUGAAGGUCUUAGGAUUGUAAAAUUCUUUCACCGGGGACGAUAAUGACGGUACCCGGAGAAGAAGCCCCGGCUAACUUCGUG